rnacentral:rRNA from 1 species
AACGAACGCUGGCGGCGUGGAUAAGACAUGCAAGUCGAGCGCUGAUUACGGGGUAGCAAUAUUCCAUAGUCGGAGCGGCGCAAGGGUGCGUAACACGUGGGUAAUCUGCCAUGAAGUUUGGAAUAACUCGCUGAAAGGCGAGCUAAUGCCGGAUGUGAAAGCUGGGAGGCAUCUCUUGGUUUUCAAAGCUGGGGACCGUAAGGCCUGGCGCUUCAUGAUGAGCCCGCGGCCUAUCAGCUAGUUGGUAAGGUAACGGCUUACCAAGGCUAAGACGGGUAGCUGGUCUGAGAGGACGACCAGCCACACUGGAACUGAGACACGGUCCAGACACCUACGGGUGGCAGCAGUCGAGAAUUUUUCACAAUGGGCGCAAGCCUGAUGGAGCGACGCCGCGUGGGGGAUGAAUGGCUUCGGCCCGUAAACCCCUGUCAUUUGCGAUCAACCGUUGUUGUUUAAGAGAUGACAACCUGAUAGUAGCGAAAGAGGAAGGGACGGCUAACUCUGUG